rnacentral:rRNA from 1 species
UACGUAGGUGGCAAGCGUUGUCCGGAUUUACUGGGCGUAAAGGAUGCGUAGGCGGACAUUUAAGUCAGAUGUGAAAUACCCGAGCUUAACUUGGGUGCUGCAUUUGAAACUGGGUGUCUAGAGUGCAGGAGAGGUAAGUGGAAUUCCGAGUGUAGAGGUGAAAUUCGUAGAUAUUCGGAAGAACACCAGUGGCGAAGGCGGCUCACUGGCCCAUUACUGACGCUGAGGCACGAAAGCGUGGGGAGCAAACAGG